rnacentral:rRNA from 1 species
UACGGAGGGUGCAAGCGUUAAUCGGAAUUACUGGGCGUAAAGCGCACGCAGGCGGUCUGUUAAGUCAGGUGUGAAAUCCCCGGGCUUAACCUGGGAACUGCAUUUGAAACUGGCAGGCUUGAGUCUUGUAGAGGGGGGUAGAAUUCCAGGUGUAGCGGUGAAAUGCGUAGAGAUCUGGAGGAAUACCGGUGGCGAAGGCGGCCCCCUGGACAAAGACUGACGCUCAGGUGCGAAAGCGUGGGGAGCAAACAGG